ACGCGCAUUCCACCGAGGACCUAGCUCUGCACAGCUGAAAGUUCUGUCUGCUGAGGCAAGCUGGGGCUUCUGCUUUGGGAUGCCGAGGGGCCAGCGUCCCUGGAACCCGGGUUCAUUAUCUUAGGACCCGCUGAGGUUUCGGCUUCAGGACAACAGGAGGCUGCAUCCAUGCUGACAGGAGCUGGGUUUCUUCACAAUCUGCCCGGGGAGGCACCGCCAGGAGGAAAAGAUUCAUCAUCAAAAUGAUCUUGACAGCUUAUGCUUUUCUCUGUGAUCAGCAUCAGGCUCAACUUCUCUGGAGGUUUUAUGAGAGAAGAUCCUUACCCAGAAUCCGACUGGCUUCACUGCGGCUACUUUCUGGAGUCUGAGACCCCAGCUCUGUCUUAGCAUAUGAGCUCAGCUGGCACAAGAGUGUUUCACCCACAGGCCCUGGACUGGUCUUCUUCAUUUGAGCAUGAAGUGCCAGGGCAUUCCUACGGGCAUGUUCAGCACAGAAGGACACCCUAAGGAAACAAAACAUUAACAUUUUAUACUCUGGUUCCUUCUUGAAAGAGUUCAUUCCUUUUUCACAGACACUGAUCUUUAGAUCAUUUUCAGGAAAUUAAAAUGACUAUUAUCUUCAUUUAUAAAUUUAAAACGCCAGUGAGGCAGAAUAAUUUAAUUGGCCCAAGGUCAACUCAUUUGAUAUUACUAAAGGGAAAUGCAGGUAGCAGAAUCUAGUGCUCUACCAUCAAACAAAACAUACCAAGUAUAAAAAUGCUGACAUCAUCUCACAACAAAUCAAGGAGAUCCACUUUCAUCUCUCAAAACUGGUUCUGGAAGGCAACUAUACACUUCAAUAUCAAUCCAUUGUAGGUAAUAAGAUGUGAGACACAAUUUUAAAACCAGAAGAUAUAUGCAGAAUUUAUCUAGCCAAAUUAUGUUUCUGCAUGGAUACCUUUGCAUAAAUGAUGAAAGCUAUCAAGCUUUUCCCAGAAGAAUGAUACACAUAUAUACAAUUUUGCAUUAUUACUUAAGGUUCAAAGACAGCCAAAAGAGCCGUGGAUCCCAGGGUUAAGAAUAGUCUAGAAUAUCCUUUACUUUACAGAUAAGCAGAAAGAUCCAGAGAUUAACUGGUCCAACUGGACGUGGUCUCCUUCCAAUUUUCACCGUUUUUUUUUUCCAGUUUUCACCAUGUUAAAAAAUUUCCCAAAGAUAGACCCAUAGCGUCAAUUUUACAAGCACAUGACCUAAAAACUCGAAACUCAGCAGCUAUUCCCAAACCCACAUCAUACCACAUCCUCCUCUCACUUAAAAGCUAAAACUACAAACGACACAGAUAUCUAUACAUAUAUACCCAUCUUUCUUCUCAGGCUUUGGGGCAGCACUGGGACAUCUUUUUCCAUUCUUCGUCGAUAUAUAACUGCACUGCUUGAAAGGUGCAUUCUUGUCUUCAAGGAUAUGCUUAAUG